rnacentral:rRNA from 1 species
UACGUAGGGUGCAAGCGUUGUCCGGAAUUAUUGGGCGUAAAGAGCUUGUAGGCGGUUUGUCGCGUCUGCUGUGAAAUUUCGGGGCUCAACCCCGAACUUGCAGUGGGUACGGGCAGACUAGAGUGUGGUAGGGGGAGACUGGAAUUCCUGGUGUAGCGGUGAAAUGCGCAGAUAUCAGGAGGAACACCGAUGGCGAAGGCAGGUCUGCUGGCCAUAACUGACGCUGAGA